rnacentral:lncRNA from 1 species
AGUUUUCAGCCUCUAGCAUGCUAUCUUUUACUAAUUCUAAUUAGCUUUCUAACAACCCCAAAUUUCAGAGCCAGAAACGCCAGAGGGAAGCUGGAAAUGUGAGAAAUGCAACAACAUAAAUUAUCCUUUUCGGACCAAGUGUAACAGACAGAAUUGUGGUGCGGAGAAACCAUCUGAGUCCAAAAAGUCACCUUCACAAUCAGAUGAUGAGAAUGAUCAGGUCUCGGUGCGGAGAAGCCAUCUGAGUCCAAAAAGUCACCUUCACAAUCAGAUGAUGAGAAUGAUCAGGUCUGUUGUGUGAUACACAUGAUUUGUAUGAUUAUUUGUUGCGUAAAGUUGUCUAUAAGUUGUGUAUCAUCUAUGUAUUCCUUGUACAGUUUACGUAUAUUAUGCUCAAGGAACUUUGUAGCUUUGAAAAUCUGUGUAGGAAGUAUACCUGCUAGCCUCCAAAAGGGAACUAUUUUGUCUAGUCUUCUCUCUUCUUCUCCUAUUUCUGAUACUUCCUGCUUGUUCUUCAUGUUUACUUUAUCCUUUUCUUUUUGUGUUCGUCAGCAUCUAUUAAUUUGGUUGUCUACUGUUCCAGUGAGUACUAGGGCUUGUUUAAGGGUUGAGAAGGUCCAGAGUUGUCGUCCAGCAUUGCUCAGUGUGGGUGUCUGAAAGUCAGUAAUGUCACCUUCCUGUUGCAGCGGUUGUCAAGUUACUGUGCCUUAAAUAGUGUGUCAAAGUUGUACUAACUGAAAUUGGUACCUUGUGGUCCUUAUGGAUUCUUAUCGAGUUACAUCAGGUGUCUACCAGCUCUCUGUCUGGAUGUUAUUGAGGUUGAUUUGGUUAAUGUUCAAUAGGAUUUCUUCUGGUAUUGCUGCACCAAUGUUAGACGGGUUGUUGACAUCCAUUUGUGUUAGGUGGUAAUUAAAGAAAAACCAGAUGCAGCCUGUUUUUA